rnacentral:rRNA from 1 species
GUGGGGAAUCUUAGACAAUGGGGGAAACCCUGAUCUAGCCAUGCCGCGUGAGCGAUGAAGGCCUUAGGGUUGUAAAGCUCUUUCAGCUGGGAAGAUAAUGACGGUACCAGCAGAAGAAGCCCCGGCUAACUCCGUGCCAGCAGCCGCGGUAAUACGGAGGGGGCUAGCGUUGUUCGGAAUUACUGGGCGUAAAGCGCGCGUAGGCGGACCAGAAAGUUGGAGGUGAAAUCCCAGGGCUCAACCUUGGAACUGCCUUCAAAACUCCUGGUCUGGAGUUCGAGAGAGGUGAGUGGAAUUCCGAGUGUAGAGGUGAAAUUCGUAGAUAUUCGGAGGAACACCAGUGGCGAAGGCGGCUCACUGGCUCGAUACUGACGCUGAGGUGCGAAAGCGUGGGGAGCAAACAGGAUUAGAUACCCUUGUAGUCC